rnacentral:lncRNA from 1 species
CCAAAAAAAAAUAGAACUUAGCCAUUCAACACAAAUCGUUUGAAUGACUGACUGUUCAGACUAUUUUUAUUUGAAACAAACGUACUGAAUGGCUAAAUCGGUUAGUCAUUCAGUGUCAAUCAAACAGUUCCUUAAGUAUGCCAUAUAAAAAGGGAAACAUUAUUUUCACAUCUAUUUUUGAUAUUUUCACAUGAUUCCUUCUCACAUGAAGAUGAGACCUACUGUAUGCCAGAUGAACAUGUGAAAACAUAUAAAAAUAUCAGUUACCUAUAGAAACUAAAGACAUCAAAAAGUGAAAAUAAUAACUUUUUUAUUUUUAUUUUCUACUGAUGAGUCGGUCACAAACUCGUAUUGAUUAGAAAAGAAAAUUACAAGAAGUCAUCGAAGAUGGCAUCAUAAAUUAAAUUGAAUUUCUCCUCCAAAAUUCAAAAUUUAUUUCUCUCUUCCUUCUCCUUCCAUCUACUUUCUUCCUCUCCAAUUCUCUAAUCCCUUCCCCUUUCUUCUCUAAAUUCUUCCUUAACAAAAUGACAAUUGGUUGGAAUCUUUUACGACUUACAAAUAUAUAAUUAUCAAGAUUUAAGUUUAAUCAGCUGAGCAUCAAACCAGCUAUCAGUAUUAACAUUAGAGAGAGAGAGAGGGAACUACCAAUCAUAUCAGAGCUUUUACCUACGUAAACAUUACAGAGGAACUACAAACCAUUGAAUUUUUAUUGUUGGUUUCAAACUGACAACUAAAUGCUAUACAAGUGAACAUUGAAAACAAGGUUGCAAACUCAAUAUCUAACUGACAGAAAUGCCCUCGUAGCAAACUCAAUUCCAAACAAAACAAAAACUUUAAAAUGCAGAUAGAUAAAUAAAAGAAUUUUCAAGCAACAAAUUAAAACAUCUCAAACAGUAUUAUGCACUAACCAACUAUAAUUUAAAUUUAAUAAAAUUGAGUUGGAG